CCAGGAUCCCCAAUAGAGACCCUUUUGGACACAAGGUAAGAGUGAGAAUCGCCUGGAGCCUUUCUCAGGAACCGUUUAGAUCGUUCUGGUACUUUUUACAGGAUUUUGAAGUUUUUGGCCAACGGCCUGGGGAGGUAAAGCUCAGAGGAUUUCAGGGCAAAUGCUGCCUGCUGGCUGAAGGCACGCAGUGCCAAGGCCCAGGGUGCCCUGGUCUGUCACUGGGCACUCACGUCACCGCUGGCCAGGGUAGAUGGGUCAGUGGCUGCUGAAUCCUCCCUCGGUGCCUCACCCUUCUUUGGAUUUCCUUGGAAGUAUCUGCAAACCACCAAGAACUAUGAAAAAUCAUCCAUACUGAGGUGAUAGACUCCAAUCUAAGUCUCUGUGAUAAGAUACAUAGCAAACAGAAGUAAAGAGGUUAAAUACUGCAAAGAAGAGACUAAAAUCAGUCCUGUAGAAGCACAAGAUUAAGACAUCUGCUCCACCCUGCUCCUCUCGUCGGAAUGGGCCAUCCACUGUCCUUGGCUGACUUAGGAAUGCUGUCUAGAUUAGAAGAGGCCCACUUCUUCAUACCUAGACAGCAUUCUGGAAGAGAAGGGGUAACAGAAGUCACCCCUCAAACCCUUUCCCGAUUUGGGCAGCUGGGAGCAGAUGGAGCAGUCUCACGUCCAGGGGGAGGAGGAGGACCUCUGACAGGGUAAAACUGACUGUGCAGGUAACUACAGUUGUUUCAAAUCAUACAACUGUAGGACUUGGAAAUCUAGGAGAAUCAGAUGCUUUUUGAAUUAAUAACAGUUCAAUAAAAAAAAACUUUGCACUAAAAA